rnacentral:rRNA from 1 species
AUUGAACGCUGGCGGCAUGCCUUACACAUGCAAGUCGAACGGCAGGAAGGGAGCAAUCCUGGUGGCGAGUGGCGAACGGGUGAGUAAUGUAUCGGAACGUGCCCAGUCGUGGGGGAUAACGUAGCGAAAGCUACGCUAAUACCGCAUACGAUCUAUGGAUGAAAGCGGGGGAUCGCAAGACCUCGCGCGAUUGGAGCGGCCGAUAUCAGAUUAGGUAGUUGGUGGGGUAAAGGCCGACCAAGCCUGCGAUCUGUAGCUGGUCUGAGAGGACGACCAGCUACACUGGAACUGAGACACGGUCCAGACUCCUACGGGAGGCAGCAGUGGGGAAUUUUGGACAAUGGGCGCAAGCCUGAUCCAGCAAUGCCGCGUGCAGGAUGAAGGCCUUCGGGUUGUAAACUGCUUUUGUACGGAGCGAAAAGGCUCUCUCUAAUACAGGGGGCUCAUGACGGUACCGUAAGAAUAAGCACCGGCUAACUACGUGCCAGCAGCCGCGGUAAUAC